UCGGAUGAAGUCACGGGGAGAGGCCUCAUCCACAAAUAUUUCUCACCGAGCUGAGGGAAGUUCCUCCUGCAACUAUACAGCCACAGCCACAGAUACUUUUUCAAAAGACCUCACGCUUUCCUGUGGCGAACGUAUACUCAAAUACAAUUAAGAUUCCGAUCUUACAAAGCUAUGAAGACUUUCAAGAAGCCAUGGAUUUUGGAAUACAAAAUGCCCCUGGGUUUGUGCUUCCUUAAAGCCCAAACCGUGGUUCACCGAAGUUAAUGUUUAACUAUUUGUAACCCAUAUGGAUACCAGACCCAUAUAUAUCAUUUAGAGAGAGUUUACCGUGCCCCACCACAAGGUGGCGCGUUAGCCCUGCAUCCAUGGUCACGACCACACAGCGUGUCCUCUACCUGAGACUCACUCGAGACAUUGACCGAGAGAGCUGCCCGUGCAGUGAGCUGACCAACCUGGGAGAGAGCUUUGUGCGUUUGUACGAGAGAGAGAGAGAGCGGAGCUGCUUCAGCCGUGUAGGCCUAAGCCUCUGUUGGACUCCGAUUGUUUUUUUUUAUAGAUUGAUAAGAAUUCUGAACCCUUGGUGGUUCAGUGGCGAGCCAGGCGAUUGACAGCGGACGGAGAUCGGGAUCCACUCCAGACAUCUCACUUUCCUUUGAUACAGAAUCAGAUAAGAACGUUCACCAUAAAACCUACCCGGGUAGUAGAACAAACACAGGGUUGAAACCCCAUCUUCUGUUAUAGAAGAAAGAACACUUUUCUUUGAACUUUGUUUUAUUAUUUUAUUUUAUUGAAAGAGCUCUAUUGUUGUUUUUGUUCCCAAUGCUAUGCACUGUUAAAUAAUAAUUGUUUGUAAGGCAAUAAAUGAUCACUGUUCAAUUUCCAGUCAGAGUCCGACUUCCUGAACCUAGAGGAAUGGGAGUUGCCUUCUUCCAUUAGGGUUAAAGGUGCUACAUAUUAUAUUCAAAUGCUGCAAAUGUGCCACUUAUGUUCUGUCCAGUGAAGCAAUGCAGACAUGUUCAUAUCAGUCUUAGUUUUUAGCCUGCAAUUUGUUAGUUAUCAAAGUUUCAAGCCAUUUCAUUAAACCAGGCACAUUCAGGUUGGGAGAAAGAAAUAAGAGAUAUUUAAUUUUUUUCGUAUGGGUAGAAAAUCGAUGUUUAAAUUUUCAUUUCAUUCUUUUUCUCCUGUCCAUGAGUAAUUUUUUGAAAGCUGAUUGCAGGACGUGUUGGUAAAAUAAAAGUUUUUCCCGGCAGAGAUGUCAGCACUGAAGGCAUUUUAAGUUCAUAGGAGGGGACCACAUUUUGAGUGUACUGUUACACUGUUCAAUGUCUUGAA